GAUAGUGGCAAUCAUUUAUUAAGCAUUGCCCUGGCCUAAGGCACCACAUGGGUCAUUUCUUCCAGGCUCCAACUUGCUUCUGCUUUGCCAUAUGGUAACACACCGUAUUAUGGAAGCACCAUCAUUACCGCCAUUUGCAGGGGAAGCCUAAAGAGGUGCAAAUAAACAGCAUUGCAUCCAGUGGCUAUGCGUUGCAAGAAGCCAAGGGAGAAAGAGGAAAAAAAAAGACGACAACAACAACAUUACCCCCCACAGGAUACUUGGCAAUUAACUGCAGCUAUGUCAGCAAUUUUUUGAAAAAUUUCCUAAACAUGGAGAAGACUCAUCCUCACCAUAUGAAAAACAAAGCUACUGCAGUGACUCUCCCAUGCAUUACAAUGUGUGUGUCUUACUUCUUAACCAAGCCGCUAAUCACGCAAAUUAUUGCAACUAAUUACAUUUGAAGGUCUAAUUAAUUCUUUCAGUACCACAUCAUUUAGUACGCAUUCACAACACAGCACCUGUUUUGAAAAUCCUUGCAGUUAAUUUGUUUAUAAACAAACACUAUUUGCAUAAAAUGUUUAAUGAAUGGUUUAACAGUUAGUACAAUACUCCAGUUUUGUCUUCGUAGAUCUGAGGUCAUCAAAGGCCACGAUAAAUUAAUUUUAAACUAUACAAAUUAAUUUAAAUAGAAUGUGUGAAUUUCUCAUUAAUAAAGAAAACAUUUUCAACAUGUUAAUUAAUAUCUCUGUAACAGGCUAAUUGCUUCCUGCACAACAAGUACAUCUUACAAGCAAACCUUAAAGAUUUGGGGGGCAAAGGGGUGGGGACUAUUUUAAAACUGCAAAACAAAAAGUGCAAUUCAGAAAAAACACACAGCCCGAUUAUACUGGAGAAUUCACCACUUAGGACAGGCAAACCAAGAAAGGAAGCUGUUGCCUUAUGUUACAAAUACAACACAUUUUAGUCAUCGAGAACGGGACGGUUGAAAAACAUUUCUAUCACAGGUGCAGUUACGCUGCAAAGAUGGUUAGAUGAUGUCUGCCUUCUGGUAGAAAGACAGAAUUAAUGAAAAUAUUAGUUCUGAGAGUGAAGAUCUCUCCUUUGAAUGUAGGGCAUAUUAGCUGUGUUUGUAA
ensembl:lincRNA